rnacentral:rRNA from 1 species
UGACCAGACUCCUACGGGAGGCAGCAGUGAGGAAUAUUGGUCAAUGGUCGGGAGACUGAACCAGCCAAGCCGCGUGAGGGAGGAAGGUACAGAGUCUCGUAAACCUCUUUUGUCAGGGAACAAAGGCGGGGACGUGUCCCCGGAUGAGUGUACCUGAAGAAAAAGCAUCGGCUAACUCCGUGCCAGCAGCCGCGGUAAUACGGAGGAUGCGAGCGUUAUCCGGAUUUACUGGGCGUAAAGGGAGCGUAGGCGGCCUGCCAAGUCUGAUGUGAAAUACCGGGGCUCAACCCCGGGGCUGCAUUGGAAACUGGCAGGCUGGAGUGCCGGAGGGGCAGGCGGAAUUCCUAGUGUAGCGGUGAAAUGCGUAGAUAUUAGGAGGAACACCAGUGGCGAAGGCGGCCUGCUGGACGGUGACUGACGCUGAGGCUCGAAAGCGUGGGGAGCAAACAGGAUUAGAUACCCGUGUA